UUGGUCAAUGGCCGAAAGGCUGAACCAGUAACUUGGAAGAAUGUAAAUGUAUUAUUAUAAUACAGUAACGAUUAACUCGUAUAAAAUUCUAAAUAGGAUAAUGAUAAUGACAAUUUCCUAUUUAUAAGUCUUGACCAAAUUACGUGCCAGCAGUCGCGGUAAUACGUAGAAGACUAGUGUUAGUCAUCUUUAUUAGGUUUAAAGGGUACCUAGACGGUAAAUUAAACUCUAAGUGAGUACUUUUUUACUAGAGUUUUAUAAGAGAAGGAAGAAUUUCUGGAGUAGAGAUAAAAUAUGUUGAUACCAGAAGGACUGGUAACGGCGAAGGCAUCCUUCUAUGUAUAAACUGACGUUGAGGGACGAAGGCUUGGGUAGCAAUAAGGAUUAGAUACCCUAGUAGUCCAAGCAGAAAAUGAUGAGUGUCAUAGACUAGAUAGAAUAUUUAGUCUAUAAAUGAAAGUGUAAGCACUCCACCUCAAGAGUAAUAUGGCAACAUAUAAACUGAAAUCAUUAGACCGUUUCUGAAACCAGUAGUGAAGUAU
rnacentral:rRNA from 1 species